rnacentral:rRNA from 1 species
UGUAGGCUGCAACUCGCCUACACGAAGCUGGAAUCGCUAGUAAUCGCGGAUCAGCACGCCGCGGUGAAUGCGUUCCCGGGUCUUGUACACACCGCCCGUCACACCAUGGAAGUUGGGGGUGCCCAAAGCCGGCAAGCAAAUAUGCUGUCUAAGGCAAAACCAAUGACUGGGGUGAAGUCGUAACAAGGUACC